rnacentral:lncRNA from 12 species
GCAGGCGAGCAGCGGGAGGGGUCUCGAGGCUCCUUGUCUCCUCUAAGCCUUGGCCCGCAGGUGGGUCUCGCCUUGGGAGGACCAGGGGGUGCUGCCGGCUGGUGGCCAAGCUGCAAAGCCGCAAAGCCCCCACGGUGGUCUUCCUGGUCUGCUGUUCUCCCGGUCCUCACUGUGCCAGCACCCCCCUCUUGCCAGGACAGAGCUCUCCCACCGCUGCCAUCCCCACAGGCCCCAGCCCCCAGUCCUGGUGUCUCUGUCCUCUGGGGCCUCUCCUGCCCCAGGGAUGGCCGAGGACAGGAGGGCCGCAGCCACUGCCUCGCCAAUACCUCGGGACAAGUUUCUUCAGCAGCCUUCCUGUGUCCUUAUGCAGCCUCGCUGGGGAGCAGGGAGCCAGGAGACCUGUGCCAGCAUGGGGCCACCCUGCCCCCAGGGCUUCCAUGGGCACCCACCUCCUCAGCAUCAGCCUCCGAGAGCCGGGGUCCGUCCCUGGCCCUCAAACCAGGUGAACAGCAGGAGCCUGAGAGGCUGGCAGGCAGCUCCUUACCUGGGUCCCCCAUAAGGGACGGCGUAGUGAUUCAGGACGUAGCUCUUCCCCCCCGAGCUCACAGAGACGAUCCUGUUCUGCGUCCAGAAGUCCAAUUCCAAGGCCAGGGUCCCGAUGCUGUCCCUGGGACAGGAGCCAGGCCCCACCUCAGCCCAGGCCCGCGCCCUGAGGCCCGCCCUGGGAGGUCCUGGGGAGGGGGCGUGCGGGGCGGCGGGGGGACGGGGCGCCCACCGGAGGAAGGCCGUGUCGUUGGUGUGGCUCACGUAGCGGUCCAUCAUGAGGGUCAGGAGCGGGGGCUGGCUCCGCUGCAGGUAGUACACGCGGGCCCCGUUCGGGACGUGGCCGUAGCUGCCAACAAGGGGGCCUGCUGGGUGCCUCUGCCCCGCGGCCGAGGCCAAGGCCCACCCACGGGCUCCUCUGCCCCAGCCUUGGGGUGCCCGCCCCCUCUUACAUUCGCACCAGCUCCAGGAAGUUCUGCAGCAUGCCCUUCACCGUCGCGGGCAUCUCGGAGAGGAGCAGCCCUUCCAUCACCCAGUAGGAGUCCCUGGGGAAAGGGACAGCUCAGCCACCCCUGCACCCCCGGGCCAGUCAGGGUGCCCCCCCUGCUCAGGACGGCCUCCUGCCCUGGGCUCCCCCUGCAGCCCUGGCCCCUCACCAGUAGUAGAAUUCGGUGA